rnacentral:rRNA from 1 species
AGAGUUUGAUCAUGGCUCAGAACCAACGCUGGCGGCGUGCCUCAGACAUGCAAGUCGAACGAUUAAAGCUCUCUUCGGAGAGUGUAUAGAGUGGCGCACGGGUGAGUAACACGUAAGUAAUCUACCUUCGAGUGGGGAAUAACGUCCGGAAACGGACGCUAAUACCGCAUAAUGCAGCGGCAUCUAUGAUGACAGUUGUUAAAGGAGUAAUUCGCUUGAAGAGGAGCUUGCGGCAGAUUAGCUAGUUGGUAAGGUAAUGGCUUACCAAGGCUACGAUCUGUAACCGGUCUAAGAGGACGGUCGGUCACACUGACACUGAAUAACGGGUCAGACUCCUACGGGAGGCAGCAGUCGGGAAUUUUGGGCAAUGGGCGAAAGCCUGACCCAGCAACGCCGCGUGAAGGAUGAAGUAUUUCGGUAUGUAAACUUCGAAAGAAUGGGAAGAAUCAAUGACGGUACCAUUUAUAAGGUCCGGCUAACUACGUGCCAGCAGCCGCGGUAAUACGUAGGGACCAAGCGUUGUUCGGAUUUACUGGGCGUAAAGGGCGCGUAGGCGGCUUAACAAGUCACUUGUGAAAUCUCCGGGCUUAACUCGGAACGGCCAAGUGAAACUGUCAAGCUAGAGUGCAGAAGGGGCAAUCGGAAUUCUUGGUGUAGCGGUGAAAUGCGUAGAUAUCAAGAGGAACACCUGAGGUGAAGACGGGUUGCUGGGCUGACACUGACGCUGAGGCGCGAAAGCCAGGGGAGCAAACGGGAUUAGAUACCCUAGUAGUCC